GAGACUCUGUGCGCGUGCAUAUCAAUAAGCGGAGGAAAAGAAACUAACAAGGAUUCCCUUAGUAACGGCGAGUGAAGCGGGAAGAGCUCAAAUUUGAAAUCUUCAAGGUUCUACCUUGACGAAUUGUAGUUUAUAGAAGUGUUUUCUGUUAGUGGAGUUGGUAAAAGUUCUUUGGAAUAGGACAUCAUAGAGGGUGAGAAUCCCGUAUUUGAUCCAUUAUUUCCUAGCUGUGUGAUACACUUUCAACGAGUCGGAUUGUUUGGGAAUGCAGUCCAAAAUGGGUGGUAAAUUUCAUCUAAAGCUAAAUAUUGGCGAGAGACCGAUAGCGAACAAGUACCGUGAGGGAAAGAUGAAAAGAACCUUGAAAAGAGAGUUAAACAGUACGUGAAAUUGUCAAAAGGGAAGCGUUUGACACCAGUGUUGUUUAGUUGAAAAUCAAUUCAAUAAGUUUUGAUUUUAAGUAGUAUUGACUUCAUCAGCUUGCUGCUUUCUUCUCAGAAAUUAUUGAAUGCACUUUUCAGUUAACAAGUCAACAUCAAUUUCUUUUGUUGUAAAAAGGCUUGAGGAAGGUGGCUUGAGAUUCGUCUAAAGUGUUUAUAGCCUCUUGUCCUAUGCAGUCGGAGAGAUUGAGGUCUGCAGCGUAGAUCCUUCGGGGCUAGAUACAUUUGUGCUAAGUUAUAGCAUUUUAUAGACAACUUGUUGACUAUGAUUUAGUCUUGUAGCUUACUCGCUUAUGCUAUUUUACCUACGCUUAGGAUGUUGACAGCAGUAUAGACUGU
rnacentral:rRNA from 1 species